rnacentral:lncRNA from 10 species
CACACAGCUAGUAGUGGAAGAGAGGAUCAGAGGACUCCCAAGGCCUUUCCCUGCACUACACAUAUGAAGAUUCAAGGCUCAGAGGGAAGAAACUUCCCAGGCAUCAUACAGUUGGUCAGUGUUAGAGCCAGAAUUUAAAGUCCACUCUGUUAUACCGUUCUGAUAUUCUAAUCACUUUGAUGCUGAAACUGGCCCAGAAGUAACAAGUACAUAUUUGGCCCCAAAUCAUAUUAGUGGUUAGUGGCAGUGCUGGAUUGAGACAAGAACUUUUACUUUCAGCGUCUCUCUACCACCCUGGAACUGUAUUAUAUGGUAACUACUACCAGCACAACCACAAUAAAUAUUUACUGAGUACAGG